rnacentral:rRNA from 1 species
GAUAUGGAAGCCCUGUAAGGGGUGGAGUUGACCGGUACUAAUAGGCCGAGGGCUUGUCCUCAGUUG